AGGGUUCGAUUAUGGCUCAGGAUGAACGCUAGCGGCAGGCUUAACACAUGCAAGUCGAGGGGUAACAGGGAGUGCUUGCACUCCGCUGACGACCGGCGCACGGGUGCGUAACGCGUAUGCAACCUACCUUCUACAGGGGGAUAGCCCAGAGAAAUUUGGAAUAAUACCCCAUACGAUCAUUAAUUGGCAUCGAUUGAUGAAGAAAACUCCGGUGGUAGAAGAUGGGCAUGCGUCCUAUUAGUUAGUUGGUGAGGUAACGGCUCACCAAGACGUCGAUAGGUAGGGGUCCUGAGAGGGAGAUCCCCCACACUGGUACUGAGACACGGACCAGACUCCUACGGGAGGCAGCAGUGAGGAAUAUUGGACAAUGGAGGCAACUCUGAUCCAGCCAUGCCGCGUGCAGGAAGACGGCCCUAUGGGUUGUAAACUGCUUUUAUACAGGAAGAAUUGUACCUACGUGUAGGUAUUUGACGGUACUGUACGAAUAAGGAUCGGCUAACUCCGUGCCAGCAGCCGCGGUAAUAC
rnacentral:rRNA from 1 species